rnacentral:rRNA from 1 species
CGGACUGCUCAGUAACACGUGGACAAUCUGCCCUAUGGGUUCAGCAUAACCCCGGGAAACUGGGGAUAAUUCUGAAUAGAUCACACAUGCUGGAAUGCUUUGUGAUUUAAAGAUCCGUCGCCCAAGGAUGGGUCUGCGGCCUAUCAGGUUGUAGUGGGUCUAGAGUACCUACUAGCCGACGACGGGUACGGGUUGUGAGAGCAAGAGCCCGGAGAUGGAUUCUGAGACAUUAAUCCAGGCCCUACGGGGCGCAGCAGGCGCGAAACCUUUACACUGCGGGAAACCGCGAUAAGGGGACACCGAGUGCCAGCAUACAAUGCUGGCUGUCCACAUGUGUAAAUAGCAUGUGAUAGCAAGGGCCGGGCAAGACCGGUGCCAGCCGCCGCGGUAACACCGGCGGCCCGAGUGGUAAUCACUAUUAUUGGGUCUAAAGGGUCCGUAGCCGGUUUAACCAGUCUUCCGGGAAAUCUGACAGCUCAACUGUUAGGCUUCCGGGGGAUACUGUUAGACUUGGGACCGGGAGAGGUAAGAGGUACUACAGGGGUAGGAGUGAAAUCUUGUAAUCCCUGUGGGACCACCAGUGGCGAAGGCGUCUUACCAGAACGGGUCCGACGGUGAGGGACGAAAGCUGGGGGCACGAACCGGAUUAGAUACCCGGGUAGUCCUGGCCGUAAACGAUGCAUACUAGGCAAUGGUGCGGCUAUGAGCCGCAUCAGUACCGUAGGGAAACCGUUAAGUGUGCCGCCUGGGAAGUACGGUCGCAAGGCUAAAACUUAAAGGAAUAGGCGGGGGAGCACCACAAGGGGUGAAGCCUGCGGUUCAAUUGGACUCAACGCCGGGAAACUUACCAGGGGAGACAGCAGAAUGACAGUCAGGUUGACGACCUUACUCGACGAGCUGAGAGGAGGUGCAUGGCCGUCGCCAGUUCGUGCUGUGAGGUAUCCUGUUAAGUCAGGCAACGAACGAGAUCCGCGCCUUUAUUUGCCAUCAAGAAGUCACGACUUCGUUGGGAACACUAAAGGGACCGCCGUCGAUAAGACGGAGGAAGGAGCGGGCAAAGGCAGGUCAGUAUGCCCCGAAACCCCUGGGCUACACGCGGGCUGCAAUGGUGCGAACAAUGGGCUGUAACUCCGAAAGGAGAAACCAAUCCCGAAAUCGCAUCUCAGUGGGGAUUGUCGACUGUAACUCGUUGACAUGAACGUGGAAUCCCUAGUAAUCGCGUGUCACCAUCGCGCGGUGAAUACGUCUCUGCUCCUUGCACUCACCGCCC